GGUUACCCUGCACUUGGGGCCCCAGCUGCUUUGUGGGGUCUGUGACAUCAGCCGUUGUGAUGGUAAUGGAGGGGCCUCUCUCACGGGGGGCUCCCCUUCACCAGCCAGCCCACAUCAGCUCCCAGAGAGGAUUGAAGCUCCUGUUCCCUCAGGGAGGGGGCAGGAUGUGGGCCCAGAACUAGACCCAAGAGAACAGGCCCCCUCCCGGUCUGAACCCACUGCUUAGUGUUAUCUUCCAGGCCCAAGCUAUGACCUUCCUCUCUCCAAAGCUCCAGAAAAGGAAUGGAAUCUGAACAUUGAGACGCUUUUCUGGCCCUAAACAAUCCUUCCAUUCUCUAGGCUCAAUGAUGGGUCUAUUUCCUCCUGUAAAUGGGUCUCGUAAUCUUCAACUUUUACCUUUGCUUCUAAGGGUAAUUAAUUAGAUCUCCCUCUUGUUCUCCCUACACACUCCCCUCUCUGUUACAAGGCUCAGGUUAAGCCGGGUGGAUGGCUUUUCUUUCUUUCUAUUCCAUGGAGUGCUCAUUUUUAAAGCUGAUGGAGUAAGUCCUUGCCCUCUCCAGUGAACCUCUUCUCCAGAGAAGCCUGCUAGGGAAACACCACUUCCUCGGGCCCAGGAAAGCGGCCUCUGCCCAGCUCAAGGCUUUUCAGAUUGUUCCUGAAUAUUUGGAUAAUUAUUCUUCCAGGGUAAUUUUAUAAUUCUCUUUUUCAAGUUUUAAAAGUUCUAUUGUGAUUUUGAUUGGAAUUGCAUUAAAUUUAUAGAAUAAUUUGCA